rnacentral:tmRNA from 1 species
GGGGCUGACUGGUUUUGACUACAAGAUGAAGUUAACCGUAAGCAUGUCGAGCGUUGUUUGUUAGCUCGUAAAUAUCAAUUCACACACUUUUAAAUGGCGAGUAUAACUACGCUAUGGCUGCCUAAGUAUAGUAUUUAGGCCGUCUUUGCUUCCGAAUAAAAGAAAGCUCAGUGCUUUUAUUCAUAUGAAGUAUCAUAGAAAGAUUGAGCUAGUUUUUUAGUGCUUCGACCAAAAAACGAAAUUUAAGAAGAUAAGGUUGGAGUUCGGUUGUGUUUUUCCUUUUCUUUCCCGACAAUCAAAAAACAAUAAACAUGUAGAAAGCGUUUGGGUUCCUUGUUUGGACGUGGGUUCGAUUCCCACCAGCUCCACUU